UCCCCUGUGGCACAAUUGGUCAGCGCGUAAGUGUCUCCAAAAAAGACAUUUCAUCUGGAGGUUCGUGGUUCGAGACCACGCGGGGGAG
rnacentral:tRNA from 1 species